rnacentral:tRNA from 1 species
GCCUUUGUGAUGAAAUGGUAGACAUGUUGACUUCAAAAGUCAAUGCAGUAUGCGUAUCGGUUCGAGUCCGAUCAAGGGC